UACAGAGGGUGCGAGCGUUGUUCGGAAUUAUUGGGCGUAAAGCGCUUGUAGGCGGCUUGUUAAGUCGCGUGUGAAAUCCCCAGGCUUAACCUGGGAAGUGCGCGCGAAACUGCAGAGCUUGAGUGCCGGAGAGGGUGGCGGAAUUCCCCAAGUAGAGGUGAAAUUCGUAGAUAUUCGGAAGAACACCAGUGGCGAAGGCGGCUCACUGGACCGUUGUUGACGCUGAGGUGCGAAAGCGUGGGGAGCAAACAGG
rnacentral:rRNA from 1 species